rnacentral:rRNA from 1 species
AGAGUUUGAUCCUGGCUCAGAUUGAACGCUGGCGGCAUGCCUUACACAUGCAAGUCGAACGGCAGCACGGGAGCAAUCCUGGUGGCGAGUGGCGAACGGGUGAGUAAUACAUCGGAACGUGCCCAGUUGUGGGGGAUAGCCCGGCGAAAGCCGGAUUAAUACCGCAUACGACCUACGGGUGAAAGCGGGGGAUCGCAAGACCUCGCGCAAUUGGAGCGGCCGAUGGCAGAUUAGCUUGUUGGUGGGGUAAAAGCCUACCAAGGCGACGAUCUGUAGCUGGUCUGAGAGGACGACCAGCCACACUGGGACUGAGACACGGCCCAGACUCCUACGGGAGGCAGCAGUGGGGAAUUUUGGACAAUGGGCGCAAGCCUGAUCCAGCCAUGCCGCGUGUGGGAAGAAGGCCUUCGGGUUGUAAACCACUUUUGUCAGGGAAGAAACGGUCUGAUCUAAUAAAUCGGACUAAUGACGGUACCUGAAGAAUAAGCACCGGCUAACUACGUGCCAGCAGCCGCGGUAAUACGUAGGGUGCAAGCGUUAAUCGGAAUUACUGGGCGUAAAGCGUGCGCAGGCGGCUAUGCAAGACAGAUGUGAAAUCCCCGGGCUCAACCUGGGAACUGCAUUUGUGACUGCAUGGCUAGAGUACGGCAGAGGGGGAUGGAAUUCCGCGUGUAGCAGUGAAAUGCGUAGAUAUGCGGAGGAACACCGAUGGCGAAGGCAGUCCCCUGGGCCUGUACUGACGCUCAUGCACGAAAGCGUGGGGAGCAAACAGGAUUAGAUACCAUGGUAGUCCACGCCCUAAACGAUGUCAACUGGUUGUUGGACGGCUUGCUGUUCAGUAACGAAGCUAACGCGUGAAGUUGACCGCCUGGGGAGUACGGCCGCAAGGUUGAAACUCAAAGGAAUUGACGGGGACCCGCACAAGCGGUGGAUGAUGUGGUUUAAUUCGAUGCAACGCGAAAAACCUUACCUACCCUUGACAUGUCUAGAAGUUUCCAGAGAUGGAUUCGUGCUCGAAAGAGAACUAGAACACAGGUGCUGCAUGGCCGUCGUCAGCUCGUGUCGUGAGAUGUUGGGUUAAGUCCCGCAACGAGCGCAACCCUUAUCAUUAGUUGCUACGCAAGGGCACUCUAAUGAGACUGCCGGUGACAAACCGGAGGAAGGUGGGGAUGACGUCAGGUCAUCAUGGCCCUUAUGGGUAAGGCUACACACGUCAUACAAUGGCCGGUACAGAGGGCUGCCAACUCGCGAGAGGGAGCUAAUCUCAGAAAACCGGUCGUAGUCCGGAUCGCAGUCUGCAACUCGACUGCGUGAAGUCGGAAUCGCUAGUAAUCGCGGAUCAGCUUGCCGCGGUGAAUACGUUCCCGGGUCUUGUACACACCGCCCGUCACACCAUGGGAGCGGGUUCUGCCAGAAGUAGUUAGCCUAACCGCAAGGAGGGCGAUUACCACGGCAGGGUUCGUGACUGGGGUGAAGUCGUAACAAGGUA